rnacentral:rRNA from 1 species
UACAGAGGGUGCGAGCGUUGUCCGGAAUCACUGGGCGUAAAGGGUGAGUAGGUGGCCUGUUAAGCGUGUGGUGAAAGCCUGGGGCUCAACCCCAGGUCUGCCGUGCGAACUGACAGGCUUGAGCAGAGUAGAGGCGAGUGGAAUUUCGGGUGUAGCGGUGGAAUGCGUAGAUAUCCGAAAGAACACCGGUGGCGAAGGCGACUCGCUGGGCUCUUGCUGACACUGAAUCACGACAGCGUGGGGAGCAAACGGG